AUACGAAGGGUGCAAGCGUUAUCCGGAUUUACUGGGUGUAAAGGGUGAGUAGGCGGAUCAGCAAGUCAGAUGUGAAAUACCGGGGCUCAACUCCGGGGCUGCAUUUGAAACUGUUGACCUUGAGUGAUGGAGAGGCAGGCGGAAUUCCUAGUGUAGCGGUGAAAUGCGUAGAUAUUAGGAGGAACACCAGUGGCGAAGGCGGCUUUCUGGACUGUAACUGACACUGAGGCAUGAAAGCGUGGGUAGC
rnacentral:rRNA from 1 species